GACGAACGCUGGCGGCGUGCUUAACACAUGCAAGUCGAACGGUGAAGGGACUGGUUUUGCUGGUCCUGGAUGAGUGGCGAACGGGUGAGUAACACGUGAGUAACCUGCCCCCUUCUUCUGGAUAACCGCAUGAAAGUGUGGCUAAUACGGGAUAUUCUGGGUCUGUCGCAUGGUGGGCCUGGGAAAGAUUGCGCCUUUUUUGGUGUUUUUGGUGGGGGAUGGGCUCGCGGCCUAUCAGCUUGUUGGUGGGGUGAUGGCCUACCAAGGCGGUGACGGGUAGCCGGCCUGAGAGGGUGGACGGUCACACUGGGACUGAGACACGGCCCAGACUCCUACGGGAGGCAGCAGUGGGGAAUAUUGCACAAUGGGCGCAAGCCUGAUGCAGCGACGCCGCGUGAGGGAUGGAGGCCUUCGGGUUGUGAACCUCUUUCGCCAGCGAAGCAGGCCUGCCUCUUUUUGUGGGUGGGUUGACGGUAGCUGGAUAAGAAGCGCCGGCUAACUACGUG
rnacentral:rRNA from 1 species